rnacentral:rRNA from 1 species
CCUACGGGAGGCAGCAGUGGGGAAUCUUGCGCAAUGGACGAAAGUCUGACGCAGCCAUGCCGCGUGAAUGAUGAAGGUCUUAGGAUUGUAAAGUUCUUUAGCCUGUGACGAUGAUGACGGUAACAGGAGAAUAAGCCCCGGCUAACUUCGUGCCAGCAGCCGCGGUAAUACGAAGGGGGCUAGCGUUGUUCGGAAUUACUGGGCGUAAAGCGCGCGUAGGCGGUUAUGCAAGCCGGAGGUGAAAUGCCUGAGCUCAACUUAGGAAUUGCCUUUGGAACUGCAUGGCUUUGAGGACGAGAGAGGUGAGUGGAAUUCCCAGUGUAGAGGUGAAAUUCGUAGAUAUUGGGAAGAACACCGGUGGCGAAGGCGGCUCACUGGCUCGUUUCUGACGCUGUAGCGCGAAAGCGUGGGGAUCAAACAGGAUUAGAUACCCUGGUAGUCCACGCUGUAAACGAUGAGUGCUAGGCGUUGGCACGCUUGCGUGUCAGUGCCGCAGCUAACGCGUGAAGCACUCCGCCUGGGGAGUACGGUCGCAAGAUUAAAACUCAAAUGAAUUGACGG